rnacentral:misc_RNA from 1 species
UGUAGCUGGCCUCUUGAGGUAUGUGCACACCUUUAUCGCGCAUCCACAUCUCACACCUGUGCACAACCUGUAGCUUGGGAUGAUUACAAUUCUGGAAACGGUAUUGAAAGCCCUUGCUAUGAAUUUUUAAACAACCGUAUUAAAAGUUAUAGAAUGUUAUGGCGUGUAACAGCGCAAAUAAAUAUACAACUUUCAGCAACGGAUCUCUUGGCUCUCGCAUCGAUGAAGAACGCAGCGAAAUGCGAUAAGUAAUGUGAAUUGCAGAAUUCAGUGAAUCAUCGAAUCUUUGAACGCACCUUGCGCUCCUUGGUAUUCUGAGGAGCAUGCCUGUUUGAGUGUCAUGAAGCUCUCAACUGCUUUAGCUUGUUAUGGUUGAAGUGAAGUUGGAUUUGGAGGAAUGAUUAUUGCUGGCGUGACCUUUUCAGGUUGCUUGUUAGCUCCUCUUAAAUGGAUGAACUUUCCAGUAGUAAAAUAACACCAAUGUGAUAAUUAUCUACGUUGGAUGUGCUUUUUACAAGGAAAGAUAUAUCUGUCUUGAAGGCAAACACCUCUUGACGAAACAAAUGACAAAUUUGACCUCAAAUCAGGUAGGACUACCCGCUGAACUUAAGCAUA